rnacentral:rRNA from 1 species
GAUGAACGCUGGCGGCGUGCCUAAUACAUGCAAGUCGAGCGAACAGACGAGGAGCUUGCUCCUCUGACGUUAGCGGCGGACGGGUGAGUAACACGUGGAUAACCUACCUAUAAGACUGGGAUAACUUCGGGAAACCGGAGCUAAUACCGGAUAAUAUAUUGAACCGCAUGGUUCAAUAGUGAAAGACGGUUUUGCUGCCACUUAUAGAUGGAUCCGCGCCGCAUUAGCUAGUUGGUAAGGUAACGGCUUACCAAGGCAACGAUGCGUAGCCGACCUGAGAGGGUGAUCGGUCACACUGGAACUGAGACACGGUCCAGACUCCUACGGGAGGCAGCAGUAGGGAAUCUUCCGCAAAGGGCGAAAGCCUGACGGAGCAACGCCGCGUGAGUGAUGAAGGUCUUCGGAUCGUAAAACUCUGUUAUUAGGGAAGAACAAAUGUGUAAGUAACUAUGCACGUCUUGACGGUACCUAAUCAGAAAGCCACGGCUAACUACGUG